ACAGCAGUAACAUGAAUCUGUUUUAGGAUCUUCAAUAAUGGAAGAAGUGGUGAAACUUUAAUACUAUUCUAAAGUGAGUUCAGGGAUUGGGCACAAGAGAGAAGGUACACUGGUAAAUAAGCCCAAAUCUCUGGAGUCUGAGAAAAUGGAAAAAAUGGAGAACACCAAAACUUGUCCAGGACCCAAAGGAGACCUGAUGGCUUAAGAAGCAGAGGACAGUGCCUUGCCAGCAGCCCUGCACAGCUUCUCCCAGGGUAGAGGACGGCGCCUUGCCAGCAGCCCUGCACAACUUCUCCCAGGGUAGAGGACGGCGCCUUGCCAGCAGCCCUGCACAGCUUCUCCCAGGGUAGAGGACGGCGCCUUGCCAGCAGCCCUGCACAGCUUCUCCCAGGGUAGAGGACAGCACCUUGCCAGCAGCCCUGCACGGCUUCUCCCAGGGUUCGCAGUGUUCCUGGAGAUUACGGGCCAGGCGACAACACUAGCGGUUCUACACCCUCAAAGUGGCUGCUUUUUCAUAGAGAAAUACAACCUGGGUCUCUGAUUCAUUUUGAAUCCGUUUUUAUAUACGGUGUGAGGAUAAUAGGAAGUUUAUAUGCCAUUGAAGAGGCAGAGAGGAGCUGCAGCAUGUAUUCACAACUCAGAACUCGUCCUGUGAAGGAGGAAAACGAUGCCCCUUAGACCGAAGAAUUAAGAGAUGACUUACAUUUGAAAAACCACCCACAGCUGCACGUUGAUGUGUGUCUCUGAGCCUGGAGCCUGUAUGUGUUGUCAUCUUUGAAAGGAAAACCUCCAGUAUUCUGACAAGGAAGGGAUAUGAUGCCAAACAUCCACAAGAAGAUUCACAAAUCAAAAUGAGACCACCAAAGACAGCACUCUUCAAACUGGCCCUCCCUUAAGGUUGCAUUUACAGGCUUGCUCUUUCUCUUUUCUUUGUCCUCAGCUGCUUGUCAUGAGAUGUAGAUUAUUGUGGUGGAUAGAAUAAAAUGCACUGGGAAGGAAUAUAAAAGAUAUUAAAAUAUAAGC